ensembl:lncRNA
GCGAGGAGGAGACGCGGCUGGGACGCGGUCUCCGGGCAGCUCGGGCCGGGCCGGGUUGGGCCGCAGGCGGCCUCGUGAGCCGGGGCGGCGGCUGCAGGCAGCGGGGUGCCGUGGGCGGGCAGGGCAGGGCCGGGCGGGGCGAGGCGAGGCGAGGCGGCCGCUCCUCGCCCUCUGGGCACGGCCGCCCCCCGCCGCAUCCCCUCACAGUGCUGGAGUGGGGUUCUGUGCUUUACAUGCCCCAGGGCAUGGCUCAAUCUGGCAAACCCUGGAGUGAAGCUGCUUUCAGCGUGUGGAGACUGAGUGCCACCGACAGCCUGUUGUCUGUUCGUGCUCAGAGAGUUAUGUGGAAGGACAGGAGUGACUCAGUAAUAGGAAGUAUUAGUUGCACUGAGGCAAAACCAGGUGAAGUUAUUACUUGGUUACUCUGUUACCUUGGGUCAUUGUUUUGCAUCAGUCCACUGUUUGCUUAUGAAUCAGAAAUAGUAGUGCUUUCCAAAAACAUACUGUGAAUAAACACUAAUGAGCUCAAAAUGCUUAUCAGCUGUAGUAAUAACAGGUAGAUGUGUUGUUUCUCUAUAGUGGCAUAGACAGUGCAGCCAGGAUUGUUUUGCUUGCAAGCUCUUCCUGUGGCAGUAACUUUGCACAGAAGUAGACUUUUGCUUCAAAAGACAUUUUAUAACUCAUGAUACUGUGUGAUAUGCAAUGUUAGAAACAUAGAAUCAUGGAAUGACUUAGGUUGGAAGGGACUUUAAGGGUUAUUGAGUUCCAACCCCCUCCUGCGGGCUGUGUUAAGUCAUAUUUCGUAUUUUUAUGCAGAAAGUUCUCUAAUACGCUUUUAAAUAACCGCCAUUCCACAGUGCAAAUAGUUUGGGGUUUUUUCUCCUGUGUUCUUAAAACAGCACCAGUACUGCUAAGGAAGCAGUGUCUGGUUGUCUCUGGGUGAGGUGAUAGACUGAGGCUUUUGAUAUGGAGUUGGAAGAGAGAAGUUCCAGUAUAUCUGCUCACAUCUUGGCGUGAUCAAGAAAUUACUUGGAACUGGUUUGUAACUCACUGUGCCACCACACAGCUAUACUUGCCAGGGUUGAGUAGUAGUGUUUACGAGGUGCUGUCUGGAGAUGCCUCUGUAUUUGCAAGAAAAUACUGAAGCAGGUGACAGUAAGUUCAUUACAACGAGCUGAGCAGUUUAGGAAACAGCAUUUUUAUUCUCACAUUAUAAGGUGAUCUACAUAGAAAAUCAAAUGCCUUAAGUAUGCCACUGGCAAGCACUUCAAUAGAGGAAUCUGAAAACUCCAUAGGAGUUGCCCGGAGUGGUUUGUGCCGCUCUCAAGAGCAGUGCUGCCACCACCAUAGCAGGUGAGCUGGAGCUGCUGCUCUCAGGAGUACUGAGCAGAGUUGGCUGAGUUUUCCUCUGCACUUUUGCUUUAUGCAAAUCAGAGCAGGUAGCUCGCUUGUCUGGUGUUCUUUGAGUUUGUUUUUGUUUAUUUUUUUGUUUUUCUGAUCUAUUCUAGAAAGAUACACCACAAAGAAGCACCAACUGCCUGGUAUCUUUAAGCUUUGCUUCUGAGAGUAUUUUGUUCUGUAGUUUAUCACUUGCCUGCUCAAGUUUGUUUGGAACUUCCAUACUGCUAAAUAGGACAACUGUUCUGUGUGAGGAGGAGGUGAGCACAACAGAAGACUUUUGUCUUCGGUUUUAACAACAAAACUGAAAGUUGCUCUGGCAAAAUGGCAAUUCAUUGUUAAUUCAUGAGAUGUAGGUGCUCUGGAAAAAUCAAAUACCAGUUUCAUAGCUACCCUUAGGCAUCUCUAAUUUAUGCAAGCAGGGCUUGCCAAGUAACUACUGAGUCUCACUGACCUUAGUAGGUUUGCAGAGGUCAUAUUUUAACACAGAUAAGUUAUGCUUGAACUAUUUUCUCAGUAGGUAUUAGGAGCAAGUGUUUGUGUACACAAUUACAUGCUUUUUGCCAAUCCUCCAUUACAUUUUCUGUUUUUCUUUAGAUUCUUGCUUGUAAGUUCUACAGUAAAUCCUAGAGUUUUUUUUUGUGUUUUUUCUUAAUCUGUUAUCUUAAGUAAGAAACGUGAGUUUUUGAGGACAGCUUCUUUUUUGGGGUCUCAGUAAAACAGAACAAACAAAGGUUUCAUAGACCGCCAGAAAGGCAGUUGUAGGAUCAGGGAAAGUCGGGGUAUGGGAAGCCAGAACAGCCCAAACGUGUGAGUGACAUCAGCAUUUUUCUGAGCCGUUUAUGCUGCUCACUUCUGUCGGUUCCCAGCAGUGCCUGUGUCUUAUGUAAGCUUGCACUGUACAUCCUGUCCUGCUGUUCUCAUGCAUGAAAAUCAUUGGUGUUAUCUUACUGUACGUUUUGAGAGCUGAGCAGUUACUGGCUACUUGUUGUCUCAAAUGUCUGCAUGCAAAUCUCUCACAAGCAUGCUGGAGAGAGCUAUGCCAAGAGCAUGGUGCUGUCCUCCUAGGAGACAUCAGAGGGGUAAGUUGUAGUAAACGCCGCUCGCUCGUCCUUUGCUCUUUCUGGUAAUAGGCACUAUGAAGUAAUGCAGCUACAGAGGUAAUUGUGCUGCUACAGUCUGAAGUGCUGAUCUGUGUCACGUGCAGAUGGACCACUAAUGCAGUUUCGAUGGCUGGUGAUAAAACAGACAUGGAAAACAAAGGACAGUGGUUUCAACAGAAGCUUUAAUGAUGUUAGGACUGGAAAAGAGAGGCUUUUAUAUACUCUUACUGUGCACUGCUUGUUACGGGUCUUGGAAAGAAACUGUGCCUUCAGAUGGACUGAUGCUUUACCCUUGUUCCUGUAGUUAGCAUUUAGUGAUGCAUAAUGAAGGUACUGUCACUCAAUGGGUGAAAUUGGAGCAAACCUUCCAUUACAAGGCUUCAGAAACAAACAUUCCCUCUAUUUUUUUUCUUGCUAAAUCUAUCUGAAAUCGUCAGGCAUAAAAUCCUGCAGUAAUGUGAUCUGUUAAUGCAAAGUAAGUAACUUGGCCACCUUGUUUAAACGCUACCCAGUGCUUCAGUUACGAAGCAAAACUACCUCUGCUUCUUAAAUACUCUUGUCUCUUCUGUUUGUGCUCCUGCAGUAUGAAGGAGACAAGUUUCUGCUCCUCUGCUCUGGUGAAUGCGAUUGUGUGGCACUGUGGCUUGUUUUGGGGGAGCUGUGUUUGGAGGGCUGUAGAGUUUGUUACAAGCUCUGAUAGGAAAGGCUGACUGGCAGGAGAAGUGCACCUGGGUAGGAGUGCGUUUGUGGAAAGGCCUUGGAAGGAAUGAAAGAAUCUUUCUUGUGGCUUCCCAGUGUGAUCCGUUCCAUGCCGCACGAAACAAUUCCUCAUUGUGCUGGAGUGUAAGACUUAACAAGGAAACUGGCCAUCUGAAGAGGAACAGGUGCAAUGCCCUGACGCUUAGAAGCUAACCAGAUUCCUGAGUGAGCAGAUCUUGCAGAAUUUAAGGAAACUUAUUGGCAGAACAUCUAAGAAGGACUUGAAUUUUUGUUUUGAGUAGGGAAUUGAAUGAUCUCUGCUGCCUUUCACACAAAUCUAGGAAUGCAGUGGCUCUAUUUAGUGCUUUUGUUAUUUUCUUGAAGAUAUAGAAAUAUGUUUCAAAAGCAUAUGCAGGAAGAUGGAGUUGCAGCAGCCAUAAGAACUUGUAAGAAAGCACCUGCACGUUGUGCAUUUGGGAUUCCGUGGCAUUAUAUUUUAUUGCUUUACUGAUGCUUACGUGACUAUCAGAAUCCACAUCUAUGUUGUCCAUAUUCAAUAGCCUUUUCAUUUUGUUGAUGUGGACAGAAUCUAUUCAGGAUGCUUAAAUCUGCUAAAAUAUUUAUAAGAAAGUUGGACCUUGGAGCAUGUUUCCCACAGGAUGCAGUGGGUGUCGGGGCUAAAGGUCAGUGCAGACAAAGUAAAGUGAAAGCUCUUUUGCAUUUAUUUUCCUACUUUUUUUUCUUAAUUUUCUUUUGAAAGAGAAUUCUCUGUGUUAAGAAGCACAGAACUUUUCUUUGCUACUUCCUACGUUUCCAUACACUGAGAAGCAGGAAUGGACCUGUAAAUACUUAAGCCUUUUAUUGAAACUUUGCUCCCUUUCUUUAGGAGAGCGGGGAAAAAAAAUGAAACCAACAACCCCAAAUCAGUGCAGUUAAUGUAGUCAUGGGCUCUGAGCAUGGAAGUUCCCGGUGUAAAGGAAAAAAGCCAGAUGGAGUUUUAAGUGACUGUCAUGUACCACUUAAGAAACGCACAUUCCUGAUACUAAUAAAAGGGCCAGAUUGGAGCUACAUAAUUAAUCCCAGUGUCCUUUUCAGCACAUGAUAAGAUUUGGCUACAGCAGUCAUAGAGCUAAUGGAGACAACUGUCAGGUUCUACAAAGCAGUGGAUUGUUUGCCUAAAAUAAAAAUACCUAUGUGAUUAUUCUUGUACAUAUAUUUGUAUCUGCUGGUGAUUAGUACUUAUGUCCCAGUUCAAAUGGAAGAUAAAUGGAGCUGAUUUGCUUUUGAAUCCCCUUACUGCCUUAAGUAUCUGUAUAAAUAUAUACACCAGAUAUGUCUGUAAAUAAAUUAUUCCUAUUAAAUAUAUAUUUAAGAUGGGAAGUAAAUGUUUUUUAUUAUUUUCUUUAGGAGUUAGGUGGCAAAACUUGCUCUCCUUUGGAGUCCAUUUGAAAUAUAGUGACUGAUGAAGGCCAAGGAGCAAUUCUGCAAUUGUUUAUUCGCUGUAUGUGUCCAUGACCUGGAAGAAGCGUGCAGGAAGGGGCUAAAGCAGAAAUGCUUCUGAGAUGGCACAAAGUGUGUGUUGGAGGCAGACAGGAGGAGUGGGCAGAUGGCAGUCAGAACAAAACAGGGAGUUCAAUAACUUGGGACAGCAGUGAGCUGCUCUAACUGGAGAACACCCUUCUAACCAUAAAGGGGAGCUGCUCUGUCUAAGGUGACCGACUACUUUGUACUGCUGGACACCUGCAGUGAUGUAUAGUAGUCUGUUGCUGUAAACAUCCCCGACUGGAAGCUGUAGCAGCUUGAGCUUUCAGUCAGAUGUUUGCUGCACCUGGCUAUACCUGGACAGCAUCAGGAGGAAAAGAUGUCAUAAACCUGUAUGCAUAGAUACAUAUCUAGUAGUUUCUGUAGACACGCUGAACUGCCUCCAAGUGAGUUAACUUGAUUUUUAUUAAUAUUGCUGGUAUGAUUGAUUACAAGCUAAUCUGUAACAGGCAGGAAAUACAGAGGUAUUGCAUAUAUGUCACUCAGAACUGAAUUCUCUGCUGCUCCAUGGUAUGAGCAACAGAACUAUGCCUCUCUGGAAUUUAACAGCAAGAGGUGUUUAAUUUCUUGUACAAAUAUACAUAAACAAAACUCACCUUAUGAACUACCUUUUUUAAUGGCAUCUGCUACUUACUGAUCUGUAGAAAAAUGAUUAAUAUUGUUGAAUACUUAGCAAAUAUUUUAUUUGCUGUGCCUUGUUUUUGCUUUCUGAAAUUCCAUGUUCUGCCUCUCCUAUGAGUGGGUGGUGCUCUUAUUGUUUGUAAGCUGGAUGUAACCCAAGGCCACAAUAAAGGUUAAAAAAAAAUUGCACAGGAUGUAUGUUUGUAGUAAAACAAUGCCAAAUGUAUACAGUUGUUUGUGGUACAGUCAUCUUGUUUUGUACUACCAUUAACAAAGAUUAUUUUUCACAUAAAGAACAGUUUUUGAAAGUCCUUCUUCAGAGUUCUCUUCACUAAUUCUUGACUUAAAGUAAUCGGUUCAUUGAGAACAGCACUCAGCAACACAACUUCAGUACUUUCCACUUUUCUCAGUGAGGGAUCUAGGAAGUGUGUUCUGCUGAUGUAAUUUCCUGGACCUUGUCUGGGACUUUUCUUCUGUUUCUCUAUAGUUCUUUAUUUGUAAAGGAUGGGAGCAGAAUAGCCUAAAUGAGUGCUUACUACUCCAACAACAGCAGAAUUCAUUCCUGCACUACCUUAGCUUUCCAGUCUUCCACCUCUGAAAAUGUUAGUUUCAUAUUCUUUGACAUUCAGCAGGCAAAUUUUAUGUUCAGUUUAUUUGAGAGUAUGUUAAUAUAGAUUAAAAGGGUUAACAAGAUCUAACUUUGCUACAGGAAUUCUGUAGAUUGUAUGCAAAGAUACAAAUACUUUAAAAAAAUAAAAUUUCUGGUUUCUUAAAACUAUGAGGAUUCCUUGGGCCUGGAAAGGAUAGACUACAAGUAGUGCAGAGGCAGUGAUUCUCAAGCAUGUCAUGAACGGCCACCUGUGAACUGAGGGCAACCAUUCUUCUGGGGCAGUCGUGUGACUGUAAAUACAGAGCUGCUGUGAUGUGGUUCACCUGUCUGCUGGCACAGCAGUGCGUGGUGAUCAAAGGUUCUGAACUUACUGAUAGCACUGCUGCAAUGAUCUAUUUUUGGAGUAGUUCAUACACAAUACAGUUUCUAUUAAAGAACAUGUUGUCUUAAAUAUGAUGUUUGGCUUGGGUACAUUGUCAAAUUAGAAAGAGAAAUAUAAGCAGCAUUUACAAAUCCUUUUUUUUUUUUUAAAGGAGAACACAAAUGCUAGUCAUUUUUCCAGAUGUUCUUUGCUGGAAAUGCUUGGCAUUCCCUAGUUUUACGUACUACUUGGACUUAGAAGGAAUUAAGUGUUGUCUGUUAACAUUUUUCACUGAAUGAUCAAAGUAAAUGUUAUCUCAUAGUUAAUCUUGUAGUCAUUUUUGUUAGUGCUGUCUUGGCCUUUUCACAAGCUAGAUAAGAGUAGUCAUGUGCAGUUCAUCAGUGCAGUCUUGUGGAAUUUUAUUUAUGUGCUAGUAUCUAAUACAAUCUCAAACACACUAAUACAAUCUCAAACACAGCCAUCAUGCUUCUUUACAUGAAAGCCAACUGCAGUGGUUUGUAACUAUGGGAAAUAAAUAAACCCGCACUGCAUUUUUACAUUGCGUUUUUGUUUGGGAUUUUCUUGUGAAGAGCUUGAAAAGCCAGGAUCUCUGAACGUAUCUCAAACAUUUCUGCGUGCAGAUGAAGUGCAGUCUUUCCAGAUAUUGUGUGUUUACACAAUGAUUUAAGUUGAAUCAUUGAAUUUUAGGAAUGGAAGAGGCAAAUUUGACAUGCCAGCCUAAUCAUCAGCAAAGCUAAUUACUUCAUCUUGUUAACGUGAUGACUGCAACUAUUGCUUAUGAUAGAAGGAGACAUAAAUAAAUUUCUCAUGUUUUAUGGUGCACUCACAUCAUAGUGGAGGCAGAUAGCUAAUGGAGGAAGUUGCUAGUCCAGAGGCUGGCAGCACAGCUGUGAAUGUGCUGCUAAUUCUGGAUAACUGUCAUGCCUAGCACAAGUAGGAAUGGACGUGCAGACGUUUGGAAGUGGAAGCUAGAUGGAAUACCAUGAUCCCUGCUUGCUGAGCAAGUGGAGUGCUUAUGAAGAUGCAUGUUUAGAGUCUGAAUUAGUUGCCUGUGGUUUUUAUGACCACUUAACAGCAACAUGUCAAACUCUUCGGUAACUUCAGGCUGGUUUUCAUGAAGGUCUCCCCUUACUGUGAACUUGCAGCUGUGUUCAGUAGAAAUGCUUGAGCUCAUGUUUUUUUUCUUCAUACAAAGAACCAGCUGUGAAGUGUUCAGAAGGCUUCCACCAGCCUCUGCGUAUGAAGAGAAAUCUGCACAUCUGUGGUUCCUUCUCCCCAGUAAAUCUACAAAACACCUGCUCAGACAAGAGCUUUGAGAAGGCUGACAGAGUUUAUAAAGCAUUUUUUCCCGGUUUGCUAAUGUUCUGGUUAUUCAAGGCUUUAGAUGCUAAGUAAGCUGCACAUUUGAAAUCUAAAAUAAGUGUUGAAGCUUAACUGAUAGUGUUCUGUUCUCUCACUAUUAAAAUGACUCAUCAUUCUGAGUAAGAAUGUGUGUGGAGAAAACUAAGAAGAUUGAAACAGCAGGGAAAGAACCUUGGAAGCAGUUUUAGAAUGGGAGUUAGUUUAGGAAAACCUAGUAGUGCAGCUAGGAAGACAAGCAAAUGUAGCAAUAGAAGCUGUAAAAUUUAGCAUAUAAAGGAAACUGCUGAAAUUUUUGGUACCACAGGAGUUGAAUUUUUGCACAAACCAUUUGAGAAGGACAUCCUUGAGGACUGUUUUCUGGCUUGUACUACCCUAUUGAUGUCCCAUAUAUAUUUUGGUGUUGAGCAUCAAUUCUGAUAAUGAUUUACAUUUGAGGUUUCUAGAAGUGCCUACUCCAAGCAUCAAGAGUCUUGGCAGGUAAGUGCAACAGAGAUAGUGAAUUCCAGCAGCUGUGAGAAUAGUUUUAUUCUGUUUUUCCCUGUUAUCUCUGUAGUAUUAGAAACUGUACAAAUACAUUACCGUGUUCUGAUAUUUAUAAGGUUAAAUGUUAAAAAACAGUGCUCCAACUUUACGUCAGUAAGCUUUAAUAACUGUUGCAAAUGCCUUCUGAGUAGCAUAAGCUGUAGCGCACACAGCGUAUUGAAAUAUGCCUGUGCCGAUUCAUUUUUGGAUAUCUUGAAAGCCAAUGCUGUAUUUAUAUUGUUAAGCUAACUUUUAGUUCCUGUAAACAUCCUACACUCAGCUAUAACAAGUGGUAGGGCUGGGGGGUGGAUGUUUACUUCAACUGACUUGGAAAGGCAGCUUUCCUGAAUGAUCAAGUGACAUUUUGGCAAGAACGGAAUGCUAUAUUUCAGUGGUAUUCAGAUAAGCUUAUUGUAUUGUAAAUACUCUUCUUUCUGUGGAAGUACUGUAUUUCUAUAAAUGUCUUAAUGCAUGAUUAUUGUAAAGCAGUCUUUAACUGCUAAAUUGUGUAUCAUUUUGAUUGCAAAUAAACUGUGAUCCUGUAUCUUUGUCUUGAAAAGUACAUUCUGGUGUCCUCAGCUCACCUAGGAUACACUCUUGAUAAGAAUAUACCCAGAAUCUGUUACUGAGCAUAAAUUGAACAAUUUGCAGCAGCCAUUUCUUAUUUAUGACCAACUUCUUCAGUGUCAGAGGAAGAGUGGAUAUGUUGGACAAUGAUAAGUAAAGACAACAGUAUAAAAUAUUUAAGUGGUAGAACUAUUUAGAUGUAACAAUUCUGUUGGUUUUGGUAUCUAACAAAAUGAGGAAUGUCUUGCUUUGAUUUGGAAAACUUGGAUAGAAGAACAUGGAAGGAGAUGAUCGUUAGCUUUCCAUUUAACUCAUUUUACGUUAUAUAUUACGUGAUAGGAUCCCAUAAGUGGAUGUAUUGUUAAAUGAAAUAGAGCUCCAGCAUUUUGAGAAUAGGAAAUACUAGAUUUAAGUGUUCAAAAAAGAGCUCAGGAGUGGUUUUGUUUAGGCAGAAGAAUGAAGGACAUGGGAUGCACUGUUGUGAUGUGUAACCUGCUUUUUUGAGGAUCACUUCGAAAAUGCAUUCCUUUAAUAUUAGGCUCCUGAUGCGUGAUGUAUUUCCUACUUAAGGCAAACAGGUGAAAAUUACCAAGAGGAUUUUUCUCUUUUAAGAUGCAGAAGCAUAUUUUUGUUAUAUUUUUCUUGUGUUUAUUAUGUCUUGCUAUGCUGCUUACUUUUGUUUCCAAGCUGAAGAAGUCUUUUAAUCAGAAGUCCUGGGUAGGUCUAAAAAAAUAAAUGGCACUGCAAUCAAUUGCAUGCAAAAGAAUGCAUCAGAAGUUCUGUAUUUACACAGAACUUCAUAGUGUGAACAGUGCAGUACCAUCAGAUAUUACUGUGUAUGUGCAUGCAUGGUUUAAAAACUUUGCUUUUUUGAACUAAUGUCACCUGUUCAGUUGGUGCAGACCUCUGAGUUUUUCAGUUGAAGUGAGCCAGGGAAACCUUGGGGAAGUGAGUUGUCCUCUUCAGAAGAGAUCCUGUGUUGAAGGGGAACCUUACCUGCAGAACAGUCUGCAUUUCUUUCUAUUUUAUUCUCCAGUUAAGUGCCCCACGGCAUCACUAACUUCACUCCGUUGCUAUUGGAGAUGCUUCUUUCCACCUGCUCUGGCUGGCAUGACAUGCAGCCAUGCUGAUGUAGCCAUGGCAUCGUGCAGUAGGGUUCGACAGCAAGAAGGAAUCCUCAAAUCAACAUUACCACCAGUCAAAAGGUGCAAAGACUCCUCUCAGCAAGCACCGUUUGUCUGGAAAUAAGUGCUAUUGUGGGGGUAGCGAGUAAGCAGUGUGAGCAGACUGGGUGUGGGUGUGUAUGUGGGGUUUCAGUGGGUUUAAAUGCACUUGAGAUGUAAAAUUCAUGUUACAAAUAGGUACAAAACAGUAGUCUGAGUGGUUUUAUCAAAGGAAAAUCUUGACUUUUUGACGUGACUAUUAAAAGAUAGGAGAAAAACGUUAAACGGUGACAUUGGUGAACGACCUGUUGAAAGUUUAAGAUUUAAGAUACGCUUUUUCAGAGUAUUUUGGAUUUGCAGCACUGUGAAUUCUGUAGUGGUCUGGGAAACAGCUGAAGUGUAGCCGUUCCUUGCAUAAAUGCAUGUUAGACAACAGCGAUACUCUUGCUGAAGGAUUCCAAGCAGGUUGGCUGCUCGUAGGGGAGACAGCCCGCUCUGAAAGAGUGACAGCACCAAUAGCAUGGAAAGAGAGCUCUGAAGGUAAGUCAAACUCACGUGCGUUUGUUCCCUUUUGCUUUGGCUUAAGGAGAGGAUUCAGUAACUGACUGGACGUGUGUGUGCAUCCUUACUUGUACAGCUUUGCUGCAGGUGCUGAUGUGAAAAGUAGCUGUUGGUUAAUGCUCACCAUUCUGGGUUGUGCUAAAGGAAAACAAAAAGUCAGACUUCUAACCUAGAAUAGUUCUAAAGACUCUAAGCAUAGCACCACCAAACUUAAAACUUCUGAAGCACGCUCGUUUUUCAUCCACUGUGUCGGUGAUUUUUGGACAGAUAAGUCACAGUCCCAUGGCCCCCGUGACAGCAUAAAGCAAGGGUGGGUAAACAGCUGGAAAAGGCCACCAUGUGUGUGAUUGAUACGAUGGUCCGGAAGCUCUACUGACAUAUGGUGGCAAAGGUAAGUCGUGUAGUGUCAGUCAUCACAUUUGUCUCGAACACAGGCACAGUUGAUGUAUUUUUUUGUUACUUUUGAAAGCAUGCAUUUACUCUUCUGUUUGAUUCUACCUGUUUUCGUUUUCCUGAUGGUAAAAAUCCAAACUUAUAUCAAUAAAAGUAUGUUGAUAUCGA